GCAUCGGUGGUUCAGUGGUAGAAUUCUCGCCUGCCACGCGGGAGGCCCGGGUUUAAUUCCCGGCCGAUGCA
rnacentral:tRNA from 1 species